rnacentral:rRNA from 1 species
UACGAAGGGGGCUAGCGUUGCUCGGAAUUACUGGGCGUAAAGCGCACGUAGGCGGAUUGUUAAGUCGGGGGUGAAAUCCUGGAGCUCAACUCCAGAACUGCCUUCGAUACUGGCGAUCUCGAGUUCGGGAGAGGUGAGUGGAACUGCGAGUGUAGAGGUGAAAUUCGUAGAUAUUCGCAAGAACACCAGUGGCGAAGGCGGCUCACUGGCCCGAUACUGACGCUGAGGUGCGAAAGCUAGGGGAGCGAACGGG